CAACCCCCAGUCCAGGAUCCACCCAGACCAAUAGCAAGACAGCGCCUUUGACUGCAGCAGCCUGGUACAUCUGAAGAGAACAGGCCAGCAAGUGGACAAACUGCCCCCACUGAUAUUCAUCUAGACCCCCAAUUCAGGAUCUACCCGGAUAUCUAGGCAGAAUGCACCUUUGGCAGCAACAGCCUGGUACAUUUGAAGGCACCUGAUGUUCAAGGGAACACACUGUCCCCACUGAUUACCAUCAAGACACCCCAGUCCAGGAUCCACCCGGACCCCUAGGCAGGUAGAAAGUUCUCAUAUUUAUUUCUCUUCUUUACUGCCCCCUAUUCUUUGUAAAUUCUUUCCUCUCCAUCUCUCCACAGAAUGUGCCUUUGGCUGCAGCAGCUUGGUAUAUCUGAAGGCACCUGGUGAGCAUGGGUCACACUACCCCCACUGAUUCCCAUCCAGACCCGCCAGUCCAGAAUCCACCCAGACCCCU